UGUCACAAAUUCGAAAACACCUUCUAACCUAAUCCGCCGUCCUCAUCAUCCUGUUUGCUCGGCCGAGCUUUCAUCCGCCAUCGCCGUACCCUCUUUUCUGACGUCUAUUUCUUCCUCACUCUCCCGUAGUUCACUCUCUUGUUGCUACUAGGUUUUCUCUCAUCGCUUUUCUACUCCUUGGAAGACAAGGGGUUGAGGGAUGGCUAAAAUACAGUCACUUGGAAGUUUGAGAUUUUUUACAGAGUUUGUUCAUAUUCUUUAACAGCCUCUUCUAUCUUAUCCCUCCUUUCAACAAAGUAGCGAGUGUCCCUGCUGACACUACAAUGGGAAAGGCGAUUGAUCGUGCCAGCAAGGAGGUCCUUGCUGAGAUGGUAAGACUUACUCAAAGACAAGGACUGAAAGGUGCUGCAGGAGGAUGGAAAGACUUCUUACAGUGUCACGAUAAGAAAGGUUCUGGCUUAAGUGACCCAAUUAGGAGAUCAAGAGAACUUUUGGUUGAUUUUCUGCAAACAUUUACAAAAGAACAACAGAAGGUGUUCAAUAAAAUAAUAAGAAGGAAUAAUGAUCAUAAUGCGAUGAAGCAGUUCAAGGAUUUUGCACAUCUUGAAUCACCUAAGCAAAGGUUGGUCCGUUUGACAAUGGAACAUCCAAAGUACACAAAAGAGUUCUGUUUCCCAUUCUAUGAUGAGGGAUGGGUAACUACUCAUCUUGGCGAAUUUUUUGAAGCAAUGAAAUCAGAAACUAUGCUUGCGAUUGAUUGUGAGAUGGCUCUUUGUGAGGAUGGUACUGAAGCAGUGGUGAAAGUAUGUGUAGUGGAUCAAGAUUUGCAGGUGAAACUUGAUCAACUUGUAAAUCCCAUGAAGCCUGUUGCUGACUAUAGAACCAACAUUACUGGGAUAGAUUCAAAAGAUUUAGAAGGAGUAACAUGCUCCUUAGCUGAUAUACAGAAAUCUUUGAAGAAACUUUUAUCACAUGGAACAAUCCUAGUGGGCCAUAGCUUGUAUAAUGAUUUACGUGCUGUAAAAGUUGAUCAUCUUAGAGUCAUCGACACCGUAUGUAUCUUCAAGUUUGUGGACUUACCUAACUUUUCACCUUCCUUAAACACAUUGUGCAAGGUAGUGUUGGGUUUUCCAGUUCGUAAUGAUGGAGAACCACAUAAUUGUCUUAAUGAUGCACAAGCUGCUAUGAAGCUAGUACUCGCUAAGCUAGAACAUGGAUAUGAGGAUCUCAUUGUUACCACAGAUGUCGAAAUGCCACGUUGUGACUCGGCAAAACUACUGCUGCACAAUAUUCCAGUUGAAAUACCUGCUCAAGAGUUACACUUGCUGUUUCCUGGAGAUGAUGACGUCACAAUUGAGUCUGCUACAAAGCAGCGAGUUGAAAGUUACACGACAUGUGCUGUCUUCAGAAGUCCUGUACAGGCAGAUAAAGCAUUUGACAAAGUUAAUGGCAAUUUAACAAAGGUUUGCUUUUCAAGGUUAUUUUUUUGUUACCGCCAAAGAUAACUAAUGUAAUGAUGACAUCAGCUAUUUACAUUAUGAGGAGUAAAGGGUCUACCAAGCCAAAAUAACUAGUCCAUUUAGGAGGGGGGCAUUAAUAAAGAACCUUUUUUAAAAACUAAACAUCAUCGAUCCUUCUCUUAUCAAUGCGAUACUAAGUUGGACACCUUGACAGCAUGUUCCUUGGAGCUGGUAAGUUCUCCAUAUCCUAAAGCCUCCAAUGUUCUCAUUUUCAUCAGGGUUAACUGCCUAACCCUUCGGGCACUUGGGCUUAUCGUCCAAAGCCCAAUCAUUAUGCCUUAAGCUUAUUCCAACAACCAGAUGCCCCGCCAUCCAACAAACCAGAUGCCCCGCCAUCCAACAAGCCCUUUGAGGUUAUUAGUGAUGAGCAAAGAAUUGUUCUUACAGGAGGGUCAUCAAUCCAGAAUUAUUAAUCUAUUAGGAUUCAGCUGGCCGCCUCCAGAAAUCUGUCUCUUUGAAACUUGGCAGCGGGAAAACGACCCAGUUAUAUGUCCGCAAGAUGACUAACGACCCAGAUGUGUCAAAGAUGUUGCGAGAUGAGAAUGCUGAGCCCUUGCAGCAACAAGCAAUAGAUGGCAAUGGCUCAAAACGGCUAAAAACGUGUUCGUAUCCUUGUGACCAUGUUAAAGAGAUUGAGAAAUUGAGAGAGGAUCUGCGUCGUAGGGAAGAGGAAAUAUUUAAUUUGCAAAAGGCUCUCGCCCAAGUGAAAAGCAUUUGUGAUAGGGAACUCCCAUGCUGAACAAAACGUGUAUAAUUAAUCUUCUUUCUUCUUAUUAUUACUUUUCAUUAUUGAACAUUUGAACUCCAUCUCAUCAAACGCCCCGCCAAAGAUGACAAGAUCACAGGAUGGAUUUUCCACUGAGAUGGUGUGAAUGUUCUAUCAAGUCUUAAGUUUGUAUACUUUUGCUUGUUGGCUACUCGCUAGCAGGACUGCGGCAGCUAAAAGGAUGUUAUAUAUGUUUGGAUUAAGAAGAUAAUCUAAAGACCACUGGCACCUGUUGCUGCAGAGGGGACAAACCUAUCAGAAAAUUUUGAAACUCUGUUCUGGCUUGCAAUUUUGUUAGUCUUAAUUGUAUUGUUACGUUUGUAUUGUAUGUUGAAACUCCUUAUGUUUGCUAUUUCUUGAUGGAUUGAUUACUGAUUGAUAUGUUUGUUUGAGUGAUGAUGCUAUUUUCUCCUCGUUGGUUGUA